UGUUGCGGCAAGCGGACAAACGGACACAGGUCUUACGAAGUUACUGGUGUCGUUUAAUAUAAAAAAGAAAAAGAGGUAAGACCUCGCUUCCAAACACAGAAUCCUUGUUUCCAUACUAAUCAACAAGAUUCUACCAAAAAGGAAGUUGUUCUAGAGAAUGCCGACGUCUCCGACGUGACAUUUUGUUGGCAGGCCUUCUCAAGAUGCUACGUAGGGUUUGACUGAACACACAUGACGGAACCCUCUUACAAGGACGGAGCUUGAAAGCACAUUCAUAACCUCGGAAUUGUGAAAGUAGUUAUGGACUUCAUCAUUCAAUUAUGUCCCGGAUGCCUUGGGCUACAAAGACAGCAUGAUGAAUUGAAAGCACUUUUUGAUGAUGGAUUGAUGGAUUUUCAUAAAAUAUCUUCAACCUGGCCUCAUGAAUUUGAUUAAACCCCUUCCCGAUGAUGCGUUACAUCUUAUUUAUGACCUGGGAAACUGUCAGGUGUACUCUGUGUGUACUUAUUAAACUUAAAAGCAAACUGUUUUAAAUUUAAAAAAAAAAAAUACAUCGUUCAAGAGAACACCAUUGUCUUUGACGUGACAUUUUCUCGGCGGAUCUUCCAAGGGAUGUACCUAGGUGAAUGAAUUUGACGGAACACGCAGGAUGAGGCCGGAGCCGGACAGUUUAUUCAUGACCUCCGAAAACCAUGAAUUGCACUCAAGGUCCAUUUACCUCACUUAAAAGCUUUCUUUUUUUUUUUUGUUUUUUUUUACAAAGCUUUCAAAUGUCAAAUGUCAAUGGAAAUAAAAAUGAGGAAUGUGCGGUUUCUAAAUUUCAUUACCUCUUGGAUUCAUAGGCCUAAAAGGAUCACAUGGUUAAGCAAUCAGUAGGUUAUUUCAAUAAGAGGUGGAGGGUUUUUCAUAAAAUGUCUGUUAUCCUUAUUAAACGGAACUGUUUUGCAUGAACUGUCCGCUCGUGAUGAAUCCUUCCGAACAUUUUAUAGGCAAAAUGAUGAAUUUCGGCGAUAACCGUCAGCU